CCUACGGGGGGCAGCAGUGAGGAAUAUUGGUCAAUGGACGAGAGUCUGAACCAGCCAAGUAGCGUGAAGGAUGACUGCCCUAUGGGUUGUAAACUUCUUUUAUAUGGGAAUAAAACGUUCCACGUGUGGGAUUUUGUAUGUACCAUAUGAAUAAGGAUCGGCUAACUCCGUGCCAGCAGCCGCGGUAAUACGGAGGAUCCGAGCGUUAUCCGGAUUUAUUGGGUUUAAAGGGAGCGUAGGUGGAUUGUUAAGUCAGUUGUGAAAGUUUGCGGCUCAACCGUAAAUUUGCAGUUGAAACUGGCAGUCUUGAGUACAGUAGAGGUGAGCGGAAUUCGUGGUGUAGCGGUGAAAUGCUUAGAUAUCACGAAGAACUCCGAUUGCGAAGGCAGUUCACUGGACUGCAACUGACACUGAGGCUCGAAAGUGUGGGUAUCAAACAGGAUUAGAUACCCGAGUAGUC
rnacentral:rRNA from 1 species